CAUAUGAUGCCAACAGAAAGUUUCCUGGCCGGGUGCAGUGGCUCACAUCUGUAAUCCCAGCACUUUGGGAGGCCGAGGGCACUAUGAAAACAUCACUAAGACACGAAGGUGCUGGUGGACUGAGAAGGUUUUGGGGAAUGUCUGUCUCAGAUCUCAUGAUCACACUACACCAUAGCACUGGUGCCGCCCCUGCUGAGUACCUUUCCUGGUUCCCUACCGCCACAAGAAUAAAGCCCCAAAUCCACAUCCUGGCAAUCGGUACCCCCACGGGUGACAGUCCAGCAUCCCACAGCCAAGACCCUACCAUGCCGGACCACUGGACGUCCCCUCCUCUGCCAACACCAUGCCACGCC
rnacentral:lncRNA from 10 species